rnacentral:antisense_RNA from 1 species
UUCCAUCUGUGAGUUGGUCAAAGCAACUUUAUCUGCGAAAUUUUGAAGAAUCAGCUUCAUCUCCGCUUGGCAGCAUGUGGUAAAUGAAGGUAUUUCUGGAAAUCCCAUCUUCCCAGAAUUCAGCUAGGAUCCAGAAGUGAUGCUGUUAUGUGACGUCUUCAACCUCCCUCCCUCUGCCCAUCUCAGGGACCUCUCCAGAAGCCAGUCCCAAGAGUGGCAUUGGUUAGCAUAUCUCAAAUACAGUGGGAGAAGCCUCUCAGCUCAGCUCCAGUUAUUUCUCUAUUGUAGAAAACCAAGAGAGAGAUGAAUAAGGGAUGAAAACAUACUCCACAUGGACUCAAUAAAUCUUGGGUGAAAUGGUGCUGUCUGACAAGGUAAAUAAAAAAUGCAGCACUCAAGCACCAGCACUGGGGAUGAGAUGAGGACACGCCAAUUACCAGCACUUCUGCCUGCUUUGCUUUGUUGACAUAAAAUAUCAAGUUAUGUCAUCA